rnacentral:rRNA from 1 species
UACGUAGGGUGCAAGCGUUAUCCGGAAUCAUUGGGCGUAAAGGGUUCGUAGGUGGUCAAGCAAGUUUGUAGUUAAAUCCGGUCGCUUAACGAUCGAAUCGUUACGAAAACUACUCGACUAGAGAAUGGCAGAGGCAACUGGAAUUCCACAUGUAGGGGUAAAAUCCGUUGAUAUGUGGAGGAACACCAAAAGCGAAGGCAGGUUGCUGGGCCAUUUCUGACACUGAGGAACGAAAGCGUGGGGAGCAAACAGG